UACGGAGGGGGCGAGCGUUAUUCGGAAUUAUUGGGCGUAAAGGGCGCGUAGGCGGCGCGAUAAGUCAAAGGUGAAAUCCCUCGGCUCAACUGAGGAACUGCCUUUGAAACUGUCGUGCUUGAGGCCGGGAGGGGGUAGCGGAAUUCCCAGUGUAGCGGUGAAAUGCGUAGAUAUUGGGAGGAACACCAGUGGCGAAGGCGGCUACCUGGACCGGUUCUGACGCUGAUGCGCGAAAGCGGGGGUAGCAAACAGG
rnacentral:rRNA from 1 species